CACUUCCCACUCAUCCCCACCCCCUUCCCCAUUUUUUUUUUUAAUUUAAGGAAAUAGCCGUUUCUUCUCUAGCCAUUCAAAAAGACGCUGGAAUUGGGAAAUUUUACAGAUGAGACUCAGAGAAGUUAGAUGACUUGCCCAAGGUCACAUGCCUAAGAUAUAGAAAAUUCUGCCAAGGGAGGUGAAGAAACUUUCUAAAAGUCACAGAUCAGGUGAUGAAAGAGUGAUGGUCCUGGAAUCAAGAAGAAAAGAGAGAGAAGCAAGAAAAGCCAUAUCACCCAUGCGGGUCACUUUCAGCAUCAGAUGGAAGCUUUUUGAUGUAGUGGAAAAGAACAGAGGAUUUGGAAAGAGAACUCAAUUUCAGUCAUGAUUAUAACCUUGGCUUGGGUAAGUCAUUUAAAAUCUCUAAUAGUUUUCUUUUUGGUAUGGGUGUCUAGUGAGUGAUCUCACUUAUGUACCUUCUAGCUCUAAAACUUACAAUUGGGGCAGCAAGGUGGCACAGUAGUUAGUGCACCAUUCCUGGAGUCAGUAGGUUCUGAUUUAGUAUCUGACCUCAGAUAUUUCCUAGCUAUGUGACCCUUCUGGGCAAGUCACUUAACCUCAUUUGCCUAACCCUUGCCCUUCUGUCUUAAAGUAGUUACUAGGACAGAAAGUGAGGAUUAAAAAUAAAAUAAAGUCUAGAAUUCUUUGAAGGGGAAUG
rnacentral:lncRNA from 1 species